rnacentral:rRNA from 1 species
UACAGAGGGUGCGAGCGUUAAUCGGAAUUACUGGGCGUAAAGGGCGCGCAGGCGGUCAUACAAGUGAGAUGUGAAAUCCCUGGGCUUAACCCGGGAACUGCAUUUCAGACUGUAAGGCUGGAGUACUGUAGAGGGUAGUGGAAUUUCCGGUGUAGCGGUGAAAUGCGUAGAGAUCGGAAAGAACACCAGUGGCGAAGGCGGCUACCUGGACAGAUACUGACGCUGAGGCGCGAAAGCGUGGGGAGCAAACAGG